GGGGAUGAAUUAGUUUCGACUGAUAUAAACCUAAAUUAUACGCACGUCGUGUGGUGGCACGCAAAAUACACGGUUCGUUAAGACGAAUUAAAAUAAACGCAAACCAAAAUAAAUUAGCUUACGCUGCUUAAGCGUGGCCGUCAGUUUAGCGGUACCGAUACGCUAAAACCUGGCGUCAGAUAUCGGUGAACUUCAUCAUGCAUUUCCUAGUGUAUGAUGAGGACAAUUAGGAUAGCAAUCCUUCAGUGUCAAUGUUAAUGAAUGAUUGUGAAUAUAGUCAUUGACUAAACGUGUAGUGUAUGGUUUAUAUUUAUGUUAGGACACGAGUGCAACUCUCGUCAUCUCCACCA
rnacentral:tmRNA from 1 species